rnacentral:rRNA from 1 species
CCUACGGGUGGCUGCAGUGGGGAAUAUUGGACAAUGGGCGAAAGCCUGAUCCAGCCAUGCCGCGUGUGUGAAGAAGGCCUUCGGGUUGUAAAGCACUUUCAGUGGGGAAGAAAGCCUUGGGGCUAAUACCCUCGAGGAAGGACAUCACCCACAGAAGAAGCACCGGCUAACUCCGUGCCAGCAGCCGCGGUAAUACGGAGGGUGCGAGCGUUAAUCGGAAUUACUGGGCGUAAAGCGCGCGUAGGCGGUCUGAUAAGCCGGUUGUGAAAGCCCCGGGCUCAACCUGGGAACGGCAUCCGGAACUGUCAGGCUAGUGUGCAGGAGAGGAAGGUAGAAUUCCCGGUGUAGCGGUGAAAUGCGUAGAGAUCGGGAGGAAUACCAGUGGCGAAGGCGGCCUUCUGGACUGACACUGACGCUGAGGUGCGAAAGCGUGGGUAGCAAACAGGAUUAGAUACCCCAGUAGUC